rnacentral:ncRNA from 1 species
CUUAUAACAACAAAAAAUUGGGACCUCAGUGAAGAAGAGCUUAAUCAACUCUGCUGAGAGCAAUUUGAAUGUAGAGUAAAUGUUAUAUGGGAUACUGUAUAGUGUUUACUUCUUACUGCGAGUGAUCAAAGUAAGAAAGAAGAAGAUUCUUCAAAUACAAGAAUUGCGUGCCAUUUAACUAUGAAAGAAAAGGUUGACCCAACAAGUCGGUGCAAUAAUUGAAGAAGUGUACGAUUUAUAAUCGGAUACUAACACGGCCUUUAAGUGUUAUCUAGGGAUAGAUAAAUUACUAAAGGUAAUAUCCAAAACAAGCACUUGCCGGUGAUCUGAAGAAAUUCAGGUAUAAGACAAAUCAGGGUUGAAUGAGUACCACAAGGCGAAAUUUAAUUAAAAUUGAAAAGUAUCAAUUAACAUAUUAAAUUUACAAAUUAUUCUGAACGAUGUGGGAAAAUUGGAAGUAGACGAAUCUCCUCUAGGCAUACGGCGUAGAGCAGGGCAUAUAGAUUAGGGCGACGGCCCGAAAUCUCAGGUAUGUUCUCCUAGUGACUGAAUAUUCUGCAAUAGUUAAACGGUAGGGCGAAGGCUCCCCAAUUAACUUAUAAAA